GAUGUUGGUUGGUGUUGUAUCACCUUCCAUGAAGCAGAGAAGAUGAUUCAUCUCGCACGAUAGAGAACUAUAUAGUUUGGGACUUGAUGGGGCUUGUAUUUAAUGCUAGUACGUGCUCUCUAAGAGAUGUAAUUUUCGAGGUCUUUCAGAUGGUGAUAUUUAUCACACACUUAAUAGGGUGUUUGAACUCACCUGGGCCUACCCUC
rnacentral:lncRNA from 1 species